AGCACGUUCAAAAUGGCGCUACACUUGGUAUCUGUCAGAAGCAACGUGCUAUAAUUUACUUCUAUGUACCCGUGACGUACCUUGCCCCUGAGGUAGAGGCCUUGCGACGGGCCGAUCCCUCGUCCAAAGAGUCCUACCGAAUGUCUAUAAAUCAAGCCAACGAAAAGUUGGGACCCGCAGUGCUCAGGCACGUUAAGAACAGGUCGUCAAAGGGCAUUGUAGAGUGUAGACAUUGUGCCAGGAGGUAGAGGGAGUUUACAUACAAUACAUCCCAUCUCAUUUUGAUCAGCUUCGGUGCCGUCCGGCCGCAGAACAUGAACUGCAAUUAAACAUCACUGUAGUGAGGGCAAGCCUGCAGCAUAUUUCGGAGGGUUCAUGGGAUGGCCGAAGCCAACACAUGAUGCUGUGAUGGAGUGUCCCGUUUCAGUCUGCCACCAAUGGUUUAAAACUGGAACCUAAACAAGAAACACAACCAUAAUUUUAGUAUAACAGUAAGAGUUGAAUGGGCCCCAUAAAUGCCUCCAAUCAUUUUUACAAGCAGUCACUCACAUUACUGUGACUCUCAGAAUCUUGUAUCCAAAAUUGUGGAAUACUCUUACUUCUGCUUGUUAUAUCCGGCUUCAAAUCUCAGUUAGGAGACAGCUUUAUCAUUAUUGAAGAUUUCUGUUGUUUUUAUCAGUCCCUCCAGCGCCUUGUUUUACAUUAUAAAAAGAAUUACUACACCAAAAUCUAUAACCAUACAUCAUUGUAUGGCCCUGUUCUAAGUGGAUCUAGUGUUAAUUCCACCUCAGAAGUUUGUCUGACUGCCAUGAUGGUAAUAUUGAUUGUUGAAAAUUGAAAAAUAUGAUUUUUGUGUAGUCCCCAAUGGCAUAAUGUCCAUACUAAAUUUUAUCUGAAUUCAUCCAGGGCCUCUCAGGUUGAAUCAUGCAGGCAGACAGAUAUAACCAGUCCUAUUGUGUCCAUUUCAUGCAAAGAAUGCAUAAGAACCUAAAUCUACAGGAACAUUCUUCUCUGGUUUCAUGAAAUAACUAGAAAGUAAAUAUAUUGUACUUACAUCAAAUAUCUUUGUUGCCCAGGCUGUAGUAUCAUAGUCACAAUGUUCUCCAGCAACAAACAGCGUUCUGAGCCUAUGUGAAUAUACAUAUAUCUCAAGAAACAAUCUUUUGAUAAUGAAAACUCCAUAAGAGAAUAACACAUUUAGCAUACCACUGUUACUUCCAAGUCACUUAUCAAUUUUAUUGUCAUAGAAUGUACUGACCAAAUUUAUAUUUUUUACUUGCUCCAUUGUGAUCCAACAUUAGACUGAAUUUUUAUUUAAAUUUAAAUAUGACAGUUGUUUUGAAAAAAACUGUACAUAUAUCUGUGGUCUCCAAGCAAACCAGUUUUUACCUUCAGUACAACAAAUCAUUAGUUACAGUCAAAUUAAAAGCAUGUAUUGUGGUCAUCACAAAUUUAGACAGUUUGUAGAAGUGUUAUAUUUUCAAGAGAUAUUAUACAAAUUCCUGUGUUUUUA